rnacentral:rRNA from 1 species
AUGGCUAAGCGCCUGGUCCUCUUUGCGGCAGUAGUCGUCGCCCUCGUGGCUCUCACCGCCGCUGAAGGUGAGGCCUCUGGACAACUACAAUGUGAGCACGAGCUCGAGGCAUGCCAACAGGUGGUGGACCAGCAACUCCGAGACGUUAGCCCCGGGUGCCGCCCCAUCACCGUCAGCCCGGGCACGAGACAAUACGAGCAGCAACCUGUGGUGCCGUCCAAGGCCGGAUCCUUCUACCCCAGCGAGACUACGCCUUCGCAGCAACUCCAACAAAUGAUAUUUUGGGGAAUACCUGCACUACUAAGAAGGUAUUACCCAAGUGUAACUUCUUCGCAGCAGGGGUCAUACUAUCCAGGCCAAGCUUCUCCCCAACAGUCAGGACAAGGACAGCAGCCAGGACAAGAACAGCAACCAGGACAAGGGCAACAAGAUCAGCAGCCAGGACAAAGACAACAAGGAUACUACCCAACUUCUCCGCAACAGCCAGGACAAGGGCAACAACUGGGACAAGGGCAACCAGGGUACUACCCAACUUCACAGCAGCCAGGACAAAAGCAGCAGGCAGGACAAGGGCAACAAUCAGGACAAGGACAACAAGGGUACUACCCAACUUCCCCGCAACAGUCAGGACAAGGGCAACAACCGGGACAAGGGCAACCAGGGUACUACCCAACUUCUCCGCAGCAGUCAGGACAAGGGCAACAACCAGGACAUGAGCAACAGCCAGGACAAUGGCUGCAACCAGGACAAGGGCAACAAGGGUACUAUCCAACUUCUUCACAGCAGUCAGGACAAGGGCAUCAAUCAGGACAAGGGCAACAAGGGUACUACCCAACUUCUCUGUGGCAACCAGGACAAGGGCAACAACCAGGACAAGGGCAACAAGGCUACGCCAGCCCAUACCAUGUUAGCGCGGAGUACCAGGCGGCCCGCCUAAAGGUGGCAAAGGCGCAGCAGCUCGCGGCACAGCUGCCGGCAAUGUGCCGGCUGGAGGGCAGCGACGCAUUGUCGACCAGGCAGUGAUAG